rnacentral:rRNA from 1 species
GAGCACGCGCGUGUGGCAUAUCAAUAAGCGGAGGAAAAGAAACUAACAAGGAUCCCUUAGUAACGGCGAGUGAAGCGGGAAGAGCUCAAAUUUGAAAUCUUCAAGGUUCUACCUUGACGAAUUGUAGUUUAUAGAAGUGUUUUCUGUUAGUAGAGUGGCAAAAGUUCUUUGGAAUAGGACAUCAUAGAGGGUGAGAAUCCCGUAUUUGGUCAUUCCUCCUAGCUUUGUGAUACACUUUCAAAGAGUCGGAUUGUUUGGGAAUGCAGUCCAAAAUGGGUGGUAAAUUUCAUCUAAAGCUAAAUAUUGGCGAGAGACCGAUCGCGAACAAGUACCGUGAGGGAAAGAUGAAAAGAACUUUGAAAAGAGAGUUAAACAGUACGUGAAAUUGUCAAAAGGGAAGCGUUUGACACCAGUGUUGUUUUUCCGAAAAUCAAUUACGAAUGUUUUGUUUUUGAGGAAGUUAUGACUUCAUCGGCUUGCUUCUUUCUUUAUGAAACUUUCUUAAUGCACUUUUCGGUUAACAAGUCAACAUCAAUUUCUUUUGUUGUAAAAGGGUAUGAGGAAGGUGGCUUUCUUUUCGGAGAAAGUGUUUAUAGCCUUGUACCUCUGCAAUCGGAGAGAUUGAGGUCUGCAGCGUAGAUCCUUCGGGGUUAGAUACAUUUGUGCUAAGUUAUAGCCUUUUCAUAGGACAACUUGUUGACUAUGAUUAAGUCUUGUAGCUUACUCGCUUAUGCUAUUUUACCUACGCUUAGGAUGUUGAACUCUAUCACACACAG